rnacentral:rRNA from 1 species
GAUGAACGCUGGCGGCGUGCCUAAUACAUGCAAGUCGAGCGAAAACACGAGGAUCUUGCUCCUCUGACGUUACCGACGGACGGGUGAGUAACACGUAGAUAACCUACCUAUAAGACUGGGAUAACUACGGGAAACCGGAUCUAAUACAGGAUAAUAUAUUGAACCGCAUGGUUCAAUAGUGCAAGCCGGUUUUGCUGUCACUUAUAGAUGGAUCCACGCCGCAUUAGCUAGUUGGUAAGGUAACGGCUUACCAAGGCAACGAUGCGUAGCCGACCUGAGAGGACGAUCGGCCACACUGGAACUGAGACACGGUCCAGACUCCUACGGGAGGCAGCAGUAGGGAAUCUUGCGCAAAGGGGGAAAGCCUGAUCGAGCAAUGCCGCGUGAGUGAUGAAGGUCUUCGGAUUGUAAAACGCUGUUAUUAGGGAAGAACAAAUGUGUGAGAAUCUAUGCACGGCAUGACGGUACCGGAUCAGAAAGCAACGGCUAACUACGUG